GUUCCGGUGGCCUAGUGGUUAGAGUGUCCGCCUCAGAUGCGGGAGGUAGCGGGUUCGAAAUCGGGCCCCUCACACAACU